UUACGGCCAUAUCAUGUUGAAACAUUACUUCUCGUACGAUCACCGAAGUUAAGCAACGUCGAGCCUGGUCAAUACUUAGAUGGACGGUCACUUGGGAAUACCAAGUGCUGUAAG